CCAUGUUCUGAUGAUUAGAAAUAUAUUCAAUUGCUCUGAGUUGGCUGAAUGAAACUACCCAUUCUGAACACAUGA